rnacentral:tRNA from 1 species
GCUCUCGUCGUAUAGCUUGGAUAGUAUGCGGCCCUCCGAAGGCUGUGACCGGGGUUCAAAUCCCCGCGGGAGCG